rnacentral:piRNA from 2 species
UUCUGACUUGUCGCGGUCGUAGAUG